AUUGAACGCUGGCGGCAGGCCUAACACAUGCAAGUCGAGCGAGCGGCGGACGGGUGAGUAAUGUAUGGGGACUGCCCGAUAGAGGGGGAUAACUACUGGAAACGGUGGCUAAUACCGCAUACUAUCGGAUAACCCAUAUGGGAUUAGCUAGUAGGUGGGGUAAAGGCUCACCUAGGCGACGAUCUCUAGCUGGUCUGAGAGGAUGAUCAGCGACACUGUGACUGUGACACGGCCCAGGCGCCUACGGAGGCAGCCGGGGGGAAGAUGGCAGAAUGGGCGAAAGCCUGAUGCAGCCCUGCCGCGUGUAUGAAGAAGGCCUAAGGGUUGUAAAGUACUUUCGGCGGGGAGGCGUUACCCGCAGAAGCAGCACCGGCUAACUCCGUGCCAGCCGCCGCGGUAAUAC
rnacentral:rRNA from 1 species